UCACUCAGACCUGUGUUUUACUGAAAGCCUUAUUCCAGUGAUGGUCUUAGAACACAUCCCUGUUGUAAGUUCAUUACCAUAUAUCUCUCUGUAUGGCCAUCAAUUUUAGGAGAGUAGCCUCUUAAGAAAGCAAAAUAUAGUUCACCUCUGCCAAUGGAAUAACAAGGAGAUACAGCAGAGAAAAAGAAAUGUGACAAGGAGCUGAUUUACAAGAUUGCAGAAUCACGGGUCUCGAAUCUUGGAAGAAAAUUAGCAGUCGUCUGGACUGAAUAUGUUCUGCAUGCAAAUGCAGCUUGGUUUUUCCUUUUCAUUUGUUUGGAGAAUUUUAAGAGAUGCCAGUCUUCACUGACAUGAAUUCAUAAGAUCUGGCAGUGAGUGCGCUGCUGCUUCUGCCAAAGAAUAUUGCGUUUUCCCACUUUCCAUUUGGCUGCUGUUGUGCUGGAUGGAGUGCUGCCUCACAGGAGGGGGCAAGGAGCUGCAGCCCGAAGGAUCUGUUUGAGCACUCAGAGACGUUGGCCUUGGCCUGCUCAGAGCCCUGCCACCAUCGUGGAGAGAUUCAGCUAAUGGAGAGCAAGAGAUGAAAGGGAAGAGAUCUCCCGCUGGGAAGACAUGUGAGGGUUCCACUGAGCAACAACUUUGCGGGAAAAUGAAUAAUCAAAAUGCUCCAGAGUCUGCUGUGGUGUCUUACUUCACGCAGCCUCAAGAGAACUUCACGGAACACUUCAUGGAGAAUAAGAGUGAACAAAGAAAAGGAUUUCUUAGGAUCAUUACAGAGUUUUGACCCAGAAGACCACAUUUUGAGAACUUUGCUGAGUGGAACUUGCACGUGGAACUUCUGUUCCCUAAUCACCCAGGUUGUUCUCACUAAGGUCUUUAGCUCCAUAACUGAACAAAAAUAGAGAAAAGCCCGUGCCCUUGUGGGGCUCACAUGCUGAGAAGGAGACAGAUGAUAAAGAAGAAACAUACAGCAUGUGCAAAGGUGGCAAGUGCUGUGGAAAAAGAUGAAUUGGAGCCUGAUGAGAACAUUAAAGCUCCCGGUAUCUGACUGACAUCCUGUCAGAACCCAGGGCCCUGGAACCUUGUCCCCAGCUGAUUACCCUCCAUCUCAAGUCCCAUGAAUUCAGAGAAAAGAGUAGUCUCUUUGAAGACAGGCACCAGGUUUUCUAUAAGACUUGGCUCAUACCUACCAUAGAGUAAGCAUUCAGUGCAUGUUCCCCAAAAUGAGUUGAAUUCAUGAUGAAAUCCAUGUCAGUGAAUAUUCUUAUAAACACGUAGGACAUUUAUAUAGUGAAUAGUCCCUUUUCAUAAUCAGUCUUUCAGUUAUAUUAAUAUUGAUUUCUCACAUUAAAUUCUAUUAAAAACUCUUUGUAGAUGAAGAUUUUAACAUUAAAAAAUAAAAUAUUAUAUAUAACAUAGUGUUUACUCUUAAGAAAAUGAUUGUAUAUAACAUUGAAUAAAAGCAAGCAGAUACUACCCUGUCAGUGCAAAAUUCAAUAUCAUGCGAUGGCCUUAAAAUUAUAUUGUAUAAAAAUAUUGCUUUACUGGUUCCUUAGGAAUUACUAAUGGUCCUGAAAAUAAACUACACGGUUUCUUUACUUUGGCCUCCAUUGUAGGUAUUAAAUGGCAUUUCUGUGAUCACAAUCAUCUUUUUUAGUGAAUAAACUUGUCUGACAUCUUUCCCCUAAAGGGAAAGAGACUCUACCCAUGAGGUUGAAUUUCUUUUUCUCCCCAAAGAAGGAAAAUUGGACAUUCCAAACCACUGCUAUUCCUAUUUCAGCCCGCCCUUCUUUUCCUUUACUGUGCUCUCUGGUCUGCACUGUGCUGACGAGCUCCCCUCUGGAGGAUCCUCCUCGGUGAUUUCAAGAUGAUGACUCCUCCAGGAGUCGAACAAACUGGCAGAAACCCCUAACCAAACAGAUGGUAGACUCAGAUACCUCUGCAGGGCAGAGCACCUGAGGGAUAACGUUGCAGUUUAUAUAUGAUUCAGGAGAAUCAAUUAAAAUGCAUGUAAGUAUAUUCACACAAAUACUUGUACUUUCACGUAGUCUAAGACUUGAGUUGGUCUAGUAAAACGGAGCUUAUUUUCUGCAUGGAGACAUCUAGCCUCUUAAAAUCCAUUCUGAACACAAGUUUGAGCACUACCAGCUUGCAAUUUACUCCUCAAGAAGAGGCACUUUUUAAGCUUAUUGAACCAUAAAAAGCUCGCACAGUGUUUUGGGACUAAAUUAAUUCCUAUUAAUUAGGAAAUGAAAUUGGUAAAUAUCUUUUAAAGGCAAAAAAUAUUUUUUCCUAUUUCAAAUAAUAAACUAUGUUAGGAAUUAUUAAGACUGUGUUUUCAUGUAAGUAUAGAUAAAUCUUACCUCAGUUUCCUCACUCAUAAAAUGGUGUGGAACAAAAUGAGAUCAAAAAGACUACUGAGAACAGAAUGGACUUUGUGUGGCUAACGGGGACCUAAAAUCAAAAUGGAGAGAAGGGGCCAUGACAGGACCAGGAUGCAGUCACUACUCUGUUCUUGGAAAAACGUGGAAAGCACUCUUAAGCUUUUGACUCUGUCAAAGUUCCUGACUUUACAAAACUCCCUAACAGCCACCUGGACCUAACCAAUAAAACCGUGACCUGUGCCAACUUAUCAGGACUAAGCAGCCUUGCAUUACUCAUUUGCAUAAGUGGCCAGGAGUGGGAACCUGGGUGGGAACUUUUUCUUUCAAAAACAGCCCCGGGCCUUUGUUCUUGUGUGGGGCGCUUUCGGUUUCCCACUAGAAGCAAAGUCUCCCUGGUUUGCAAAUUGUAUGAGCAAUAAAGCUUUCCUAACUAAAUUCUUGUAUUCCAGAGAUUUUUGUUGACAUUGGGAUAAUAAUAAAACCUUAUUUGUAAGAUCGUGAGGGUUAAAUGGAUUAAUACUCUUAGCAUUUAGAAUAGCGCCAGGCAAAAUUUAAGCAGCAAUGAAUUUUAGUUGUUAUUCCUGCUUCUCCUCUUCUGUCUUUUAUUGCUAUUACUGAUUAUUAAAGUCUUAAGGAAGUCCAUUGUACAUACUUUAAUUGUUCCACGAUUGAAAGUGAAAAGAGCUUGAAAAUAUGUAGACACAAACACUCACAUACACAUACAUUUAAAAUGGUCUGUUUUUAAUUGACUGGUAACUGGUGAAUUACAGGAGUCAUCCUGUGUUUUCAUAGAUGCUUUUUCUGGAGUAUAUGUCAAUCCCCUGAACUCUAUAAGAAGCCAGCUUCACCAGCAGCACCCCAUGAAAGAAAUAGGUGACACACAGUCCAUUCAACAGCUGCAACAGGGCAGCCCAGGGAACAGCCACCUGCCUUCUUCAGUGGCUUCUAAAUCAGACAGGGUGCCACUGCUGCUAGAAACACCAGGUUCUCUGGAGUAAACUCAAAUUUCCAAAGCCUAUUCUCCUUAAAAAGAUUCAUACAUUCACACACUAAUCCUCUCUCACACACGCACAUUUUCACCCACACAAAAUCUCAUUUGCAUAUACUCAAAGAGAGAGAAUCGGGGACCUGGGACAUCUGUGGACCAGGAGGAGUAUCUACUCCACCUGCUCUUCUUCUUCCUUUCUCUUCAGUCAUCCUUUCCACUCACCUUCCUCAUUAUUUUCAAAGCUCUAAUUUUAUCUUUGGAAGAUAAUAAUCUUAAUAAUUCUGAUAAAAAUAAUUUUUAGUGUGUGAAUAUUCAUCUUGUUGUGUUGCCUUCUUUAUAGGAAAAGUGAGGGAGGGAAGAAUAGGUCAUGGAGAUAGCAACACUUAAACCAAAAAUGAAGAACAGAGUUCAGAUUCUUCAAUGUGGGUAAAUAUGCUGAGAAAAGAGGAGGAGUGUUUACAAGAUCCUUCAUUUCAAACCUUCUGUAUAACCACCUACUUCUGUCUUAUGUAAGAAUGCCUUCAAAUCCAUCGAAAGACUCUAGGGCCAGCCCAUGUGUCUGAGAUGUGCUACUAAGCUUUCCUGGAGGAUGGAGAAACUUCUGGCCCUGAUGUGACAUGAUAUUAAUCCAAAGACUUAGAUUCUGGCAACAUACACCUAAACAGAGGUGAGAGCAUGCACCAUUUACCUAGGUGUCCGUGGCAGGUACAUUUAGCCCCCUUUAUCCCAGGGAGGCUCCCCUUGCCAAUUGGUGCCACAAGUGAAAGCCUCAUGAUAAGGCACGUGAGCUCAGGGGUCUGAGAGAGUAAGAAACACAAGCCCAUGCUCCUUACCACUGCUUUUCUAAUCUCGAUAUAGGCGAUCUUAAUCCUCGUGAUCUGAGAAAUUUCCUACGUUUUUCCUCUCAUUAGGAGCCUGACAGGCCAUGACAACCAUUUGCCCUUUGGCAACCUGCUGCAACCUCAACGAGCUAUCUGGAACACCUGUAGUGCUUUCUAGAGAUCAUGUUUUUUUUCAGUUAUCCCUACUUUGCCCUAUGCAACCCAACAAUCAGGUACUCACACAGAGACUUGCCAAAAGGAAAUCUAGAUAACAGACUCGUCUACAUAAACGUGCUAGAAGACCGCCAAUCCAAAGAAAUUAGAUAGAUAUGGAACGAUCUUCCUUGUUCAAACAAAAGCUAAAUGUUUUCUUCAAUCAUUUUUGAACCAAUGACUUCCUUGUACCUUUAUAAUAAAUGGUCUCUGGUCUAUUUUAAACCAUGGCUUUAGGACACGUUGGUUUGGAGUUACCUUCUGGUUCUUGGAUGCAAUGUUAAUCAUUGUUCUUGAUCUCUUCUUUCAUAUUACUAAAUCUAUUGGGUAUUCAAAGAUCAUGGAGUCAUCCAGAUCAAUAAAACUGAUCAAUGGACAUAAAAAAAAAAAGGUUCCUAGAUUCUUCCUCUGUCCCUAUCUCAUGAGUUGACUCAAAGCUUCUUGACAUUGUGGCUUUUCUCUUUCAUUUUGUUUGGUUAAAGAACUUGCUAAAGGCUUCUCAAGAGGCAAUUCUAGUCUUAUAGGAGCUUGAACCUGAAAGACUCUUUUGGCUUCAUUCUCUGUGUGGUGUUAACCUCAUUCUUUUUUAUCCUUUUUUACUCAUAUCCAUUUCAUCCUUCUCCUGAGAGCUGCUUUUCAUCUUUCUUUCUCUCUUUCCUCUUCUGUCCCUGUGUUGGUAUGAUCAUUUUUGUACAUCAAUGAGUCUUGAGUCAUGCUAUCAAAUGCCACUGGGAGCCCCGUGAUUUCCUUUCCUCUCACUUUUAAGGCUACAUUCUAGGCUUCCCUACAUAUUCCUCUGUGAGGUCUUUAUGAGACCUGUGCUCGCCUGUGAUAGACCUGGUUUAGUAUCUACUCCCACGCCGGACCCAGGUUGUGGGACAUCUUCCAGUAGGAACUAAAAGAGCACAGGGUGCAAGCAGAGCCUGUGAGACCCUGAAACCUUAUUAAGACUCUAAAGGGGGGCAGCACACGCCUGGUGAUAGCAUAGCCUGCUCCUUUGAGACCCUAAGAAGGGCAGCAGGAAAGGCCAGUUUGCUAAUAAUUUCCUUGUGAUUUCUGAGUCUAUUUUCAUUAGUGACAUUAGCCAGUAAUUUUAUUUUCUGGAACUAUAUUUAUCUGGUUUGGGUAUCAAAAUUAUACUUGAUUUUUAGGAUAAUUAGAGAAUAUUCUCUAGUUUUCUAGUGUUUGGAUCUGUUUGUACCCAUGUGGAAUUACUAGGAUCUGGAAAAAAUUUUAA